UCCGUUAUGGUGUAGUCGCUAACAUUAUCGCCUCUCAUGGUUUUAUCCUGUUGUGACGCGACAGCCCAGGGUUCGAUUCCCUGUAACGGAA
rnacentral:tRNA from 1 species